ACGUGGGUAACCUACCUAUAAGACUGGGAUAACUUCGGGAAACCGGAGCUAAUACCGGAUAACAUUUGGAACCGCAUGGUUCUAAAGUGAAAGAUGGUUUUGCUAUCACUUAUAGAUGGACCCGCGCCGUAUUAGCUAGUUGGUAAGGUAACGGCUUACCAAGGCGACGAUACGUAGCCGACCUGAGAGGGUGAUCGGCCACACUGGAACUGAGACACGGUCCAGACUCCUACGGGAGGCAGCAGUAGGGAAUCUUCCGCAAUGGGCGAAAGCCUGACGGAGCAACGCCGCGUGAGUGAUGAAGGGUUUCGGCUCGUAAAACUCUGUUAUUAGGGAAGAACAAACGUGUAAGUAACUGUGCACGUCUUGACGGUACCUAAUCAGAAAGCCACGGCUAACUACGUGCCAGCAGCCGCGGUAAUACGUAGGUGGCAAGCGUUAUCCGGAAUUAUUGGGCGUAAAGCGCGCGUAGGCGGUUUCUUAAGUCUGAUGUGAAAGCCCACGGCUCAACCGUGGAGGGUCAUUGGAAACUGGGAAACUUGAGUGCAGAAGAGGAAAGUGGAAUUCCAUGUGUAGCGGUGAAAUGCGCAGAGAUAUGGAGGAACACCAGUGGCGAAGGCGACUUUCUGGUCUGUAACUGACGCUGAUGUGCGAAAGCGUGGGGAUCAAACAGGAUUAGAUACCCUGGUAGUCCACGCCGUAAACGAUGAGUGCUAAGUGUUAGGGGGUUUCCGCCCCUUAGUGCUGCAGCUAACGCAUUAAGCACUCCGCCUGGGGAGUACGACCGCAAGGUUGAAACUCAAAGGAAUUGACGGGGACCCGCACAAGCGGUGGAGCAUGUGGUUUAAUUCGAAGCAACGCGAAGAACCUUACCAAAUCUUGACAUCCUUUGAAAACUCUAGAGAUAGAGCCUUCCCCUUCGGGGGACAAAGUGACAGGUGGUGCAUGGUUGUCGUCAGCUCGUGUCGUGAGAUGUUGGGUUAAGUCCCGCAACGAGCGCAACCCUUAAGCUUAGUUGCCAUCAUUAAGUUGGGCACUCUAGGUUGACUGCCGGUGACAAACCGGAGGAAGGUGGGGAUGACGUCAAAUCAUCAUGCCCCUUAUGAUUUGGGCUACACACGUGCUACAAUGGACAAUACAAAGGGCAGCUAAACCGCGAGGUCAUGCAAAUCCCAUAAAGUUGUUCUCAGUUCGGAUUGUAGUCUGCAACUCGACUACAUGAAGCUGGAAUCGCUAGUAAUCGUAGAUCAGCAUGCUACGGUGAAUACGUUCCCGGGUCUUGUACACACCGCCCGUCACACCACGAGAGUUUGUAACACCCGAAGCCGGUGGAGUAACCAUUUAUGGAGCUAGC
rnacentral:rRNA from 1 species